ensembl:lncRNA PRANCR progenitor renewal associated non-coding RNA
GACCCCCGUCGCUCCGGCUUCCCUCCAGGCGGCAGCGGAAGGUGGGAGCGACGACUGCAAAACGGCAGCGAUGGGGUGGGUAGGCAGGCCGCUUUCAGCGCGCUUCUAACAAGGUGGAGAGAGGCGCUUCACUUCCCUACCGCCCUUACCGCCGCUCCGUCUUGUCUCCCACCGACUCACAGGGAGGCUUGCUGCUCCUCCGCGGCCGUUACAGAGAGCGGGGCUUCUGCGGCCGCUACCGUUUCCCUGGGGCUAGGUUGCUUCGCAGAAGGCUCUGGCCCUGAGUCCGAGGGGGACUGCGGGGUCCAGGGGCGAUGAAUGGUGAGGUGGCUUCAGUCCGCCCUCCCCGGGGACGCUGAGCGUGUUCGUGUUCGUGUUUGUGUUUGUGUUUGUGUUGGACACCCCCGCCCCCGCACGUCCGCCUCGUCACUCCUCCCCUCCUCACUCCCGCCACCUGGAGCGAAUCUGAUCGUGUCCCUGUUUCCUCCCUCAGCUCCCGCAACCUCCGGAGCUUGUGCGCGUACUUCAGGGACCGGCACCACGUCACCGUCACCUCCUGAGUAGUGAGUUCCCCUCUGAUGAAACCACUGGUGUGUUUACUCACCAUCCCCACCAUUUUUUUUUCCCCAACCUGAUGGAAGGAAGUACAUAAUGGAGAGCAAGUUUUUAAAGCACGGUCGUGUCGUGUGAACUUGCUCUAGCCAAAUUAGGUUUAUAGCACUUUUUUUGGCUCUCAUUACCUCCAGUCCCCACAUAAACAAGAGUGACCAGCUGGGUCAUCCGCAAGACCGUUUGAAAUUAUUGUGGCUUGGGUGGAAACUUAAAGGAGUGAAGUAUCUGCUUUCCAGAAAAAUCGUUGUCAUUCAAAGUGAAAUUAAACUUGUUUUCUUUGCAAUAAUUCGCCUUUAUUUCCUUGUAUAUCUGUAAACUCUUCACUUUUUUGUAAUUACUAGACAAUUCGGACUUAAAAAGAGCCUCAGCAUGUGUAUUUUGGAAUUGUGUAGCUUCAUAAUGUGAAAAUUAUUCUUUUCUAUUUGAGUAAAGUACAGUUAAUUUGAAGUAAAUAAAAUUUCUAUUUCCAUUGGUUGUUUCUUUUAAAAAGUCACCUUUUACUUACAAAAGAAUCACUGUAAUCCAGUUUACAUUUAUCAUUGAAGGUCAAAA